rnacentral:rRNA from 1 species
AAUAGCCUAACGGCUGAACCAGCAACUUGGAGGAAUGUAUAGCAAUAGCUAAUUGCAUCAAUGUUUAGAUAAUUGAUGCAAUAUCGACUCUGUCGAAUAAAAUUCUAGGUAGAAUUAUGAUAAUGACAUUGUCUACCUAUGUGUCUUGACCAAAUUACGUGCCAGCAGUCGCGGUAAUACGUAGAAGACUAGUGUUAUUCAUCUUUAAUAGGUUUAAAGGGUACCUAGACGGUAAAUCAAGCCUGCAAUACGGGACUAAUGUACUAGAGUUACUUACGAGGGGGUAUUAAAGUACUGCUGGUGUAGAGAUGAAAUUCUGUCAUACCUCGUUUCGGAAGAAACACUACGGCACAGGUAUAGGCGAAAGCAUCCCCUUAUGUGAUAACUGACGUUGAAGGACGAAGGCUUUGUGUAGCGAACAGGAUUAGAUACCCCAGUAGUCAAAGCAGAAAAUGAUGAAUGUCAUAGAUUAGAUGUAUAGUUUAUUCUAUAAAUGAAAGUGUAAGCAUUCCACCUCAAGAGUAAUUUGGCAACAUUGGAACUGAAAUCAUUAGACCGUUUCUGAAACCAGUAGUGAAGUAUGUUGUUUAAUUUGAUGAUCCGCAAAAAACCUUACCACAAUUUGAAUAUUUAGAUUUAUAUUUUCUUUUGAAGAAAUAAUAAAUCCAUUUACAAGCGUUGCACGGCUGUCUUCAGUUAAUGUCGUGAGAUCAUGGUUAGUUCCAUUAAUUAACGUAAACCCUUACUUUAUUUUUAUAUAGAGUUGUUCCCCGCUAGAUUGGAUAAGAUAACAGGGACUAAGACAAGUCAUCAUGGCCUAAA